AAUCAACGCUGGCGGCGUGCCUCAGACAUGCAAGUCGAACGAUUAAGACUUCCUUCGGGAAGUGCAUAAAGUGGCGCACGGGUGAGUAACACGUGAGUAAUCUACCCUCGAGUGGGGAAUAACGUUCGGAAACGAACGCUAAUACCGCAUAACGCAGCGGCACCGCAAGGUGACAGUUGUUAAAGGAGCAAUCCGCUUGAGGAGGAACUUGCGACAGAUUAGCUAGUUGGUAAGGUAAUGGCUUACCAAGGCUACGAUCUGUAUCCGGUCUAAGAGGACGGUCGGACACACUGACACUGAAUAACGGGUCAGACUCCUACGGGAGGCAGCAGUCGGGAAUUUUGGGCAAUGGGCGAAAGCCUGACCCAGCAACGCCGCGUGAAGGAUGAAGUAUUUCGGUAUGUAAACUUCGAAAGAAUGGGAAGAAUAAAUGACGGUACCAUUUAUAAGCUCCGGCUAACUACGUGCCAGCAGCCGCAGUAAGAC
rnacentral:rRNA from 1 species